rnacentral:rRNA from 1 species
GACGUAGGAAGCGAGCGUUGUCCGGAAUUACUGGGCGUAAAGGGCGUGUAGGCGGGGCGGCGCAUCCUGGAGUAAAUCCAACAGCUCAACUGUUGGCUCUUCUGGGAGAUGGCCGUUCUUGAGGACAGCAGAGGAAAGUGGAAUUCCCGGUGUAGCGGUGAAAUGCGUUGAUAUCAGGAGGAACACCCAUGGCGAAGGCAGCAAACUGGGCAUCAUCUGACGCUGAGGCGCGAAAGCGUGGGUAGCAAACAGG